rnacentral:rRNA from 1 species
CGGCGGGGCUUUACAAAUGCAAGUCGAGCGGUAACAGGAAUUAGCUUGCUAAUUUGCUGACGAGCGGCGGACGGGUGAGUAACGCGUAGGAAUCUGCCUAGUAGUGGGGGACAACAUGUGGAAACGCAUGCUAAUACCGCAUACGCCCUACGGGGGAAAGGAGGGGAUCUUCGGACCUUUCGCUAUUAGAUGAGCCUGCGUGAGAUUAGCUAGUUGGUGGGGUAAAGGCUCACCAAGGCGACGAUCUCUAGCUGGUCUGAGAGGAUGAUCAGCCACACUGGGACUGAGACACGGCCCAGACUCCUACGGGAGGCAGCAGUGGGGAAUAUUGGACAAUGGGCGCAAGCCUGAUCCAGCCAUGCCGCGUGUGUGAAGAAGGCCUUAGGGUUGUAAAGCACUUUCAGGAGUGAGGAAGGGUGUGUAGUUAAUACCUACAUAUUUUGACGUUAACUCCAGAAGAAGCACCGGCUAACUCUGUGCCAGCAGCCGCGGUAAUACAGAGGGUGCGAGCGUUAAUCGGAAUUACUGGGCGUAAAGCGCGCGUAGGUGGUUUGUUAAGUCGGAUGUGAAAUCCCAGGGCUCAACCUUGGAAUUGCACCCGAUACUGGCAAGCUAGAGUACGGUAGAGGGGUGUGGAAUU